rnacentral:rRNA from 1 species
UACAGAGGGUGCGAGCGUUGUCCGGAAUCACUGGGCGUAAAGGGCGCGUAGGUGGUGGCUUAAGCGUGCGGUGAAAGCUCGGGGCUCAACUCCGAGUCGGCCGUGCGAACUGGGCUCACUGGAGCAUAGUAGAGGCAGGUGGAAUUCCGGGUGUAGCGGUGGAAUGCGUAGAGAUCCGGAAGAACACCGGUGGCGAAGGCGGCCUGCUGGGCUAUGGCUGACACUGAGGCGCGACAGCGUGGGGAGCAAGCAGG